AUACGUAGGGGACGAGCGUUGUCCGGAAUUACUGGGCGUAAAGGGCGCGCAGGCGGAUAUUUAAGUCAGCUGUAAAAGGCAUGAGCUCAACUCAUGUAUGCGGUUGAAACUGGGUAUCUAGAGUGCUGGAGAGGUAGGCGGAAUUCCCGGUGUAGCGGUGAAAUGCGUAGAUAUCGGGAAGAACACAAGUGGCGAAGGCGGCUUACUGGCCAGCAACUGACGCUGAGGCGCGAAAGCCAGGGGAGCGAACGGGAUUAGAUCCCCCGGUAGUCCUGGCCGUAAACGAUGAAUGCUAGGUGUGGGUGUCGAGAGGCAUCCGUGCCGGAGUUAACGCGAUAAGCAUUCCGCCUGGGGAGUACGAUCGCAAGAUUGAAACUCAAAUGAAUCGACGGGG
rnacentral:rRNA from 1 species